CUUUUAAUCAAUUGGUCGCAGGUUCGAUCCUGCACGACCCACCAUUCAACAUUGAACUUUGAUGUUGAACGUGAAGGAUAACGUUGCGUCAGCAACGGCCCGUAAGGCGAGGCGAAGCUGAGUCAUCCUGCACGACCCACCA
rnacentral:sRNA from 1 species